ACACAGAGCGACGAUUGACAGUUGGCACUGUAAACAAACCAAACCAAAACACAGUGAUCAGUGGAAGUCGGGUGUUAGCCGAAAUGUAUUCUUCAAACGCCGGAAAUAUGAAUCCUGUGCAUGCGGAUCAUCUAAGUACAACUCCAGGACGGCAUAUAUGCACUAAUAGAGUUACAAAUCAAGAAGCCCUUCUAGAGAAAUGCUUACUUGUGUAUGUCUUUUGGUGUGCCUGACUGCAACUAACAUCUCCAGUAUAUGAUUCGUUUAUAUGUGCAUGAAACUGGACGCUGCAUUUCUGUAAGACGGGUUGUGUCUGACAGCUGUUUACCACCGCUCGUCAGCAGCUGCUCCACAGAGGUGAGUCCCUUCUCGGAG